CUACGGGUUGCACCAGUCGCGGAACUUUUACAAUGCACGCAAGUGUGAUAAAGCAAGCCAAAGUGCUUUUCGUUUAGAAAAGCUUUUUCUCGGCGUAAAAACCCGGGAGAAUAAGGACUGGGAAAGACUGGUGCCAGCGGCCGCGGUAAUACCAGCAGUUCAAGUUGCAUCCCUUUUUAUUGGGUCUAAAACAUCCGUAGCUUGCCGUUUAAGUUUCUUGUGAAAUCCUACGUCUCAAGCGUAGCGAAGUGCAGGAGAUACUGGGCGGCUAGAGAUCGGUAGACGUAAGAAGUACGCGACGGGUAACGGUCAAAUGUGUUAAUCCGCCGUGGACUAACAAUGAGCGAAGGCAUCUUACGAGGACGAAUCUGACAGUGAGGGAUGAAGGCCAGGGGCGCAAAACGGAUUAGAUACCCGUGUAGUC
rnacentral:rRNA from 1 species